UUUUGUUGAGGGGAAAUCAAGUGAAAUUGGAAGGUACAGCACAUGGGUAUCAACUUUGUGUGAGACAAUAGAAGGUCCACCAGAAAUGGGAGGCAGGGCAAAGAGAAUUAAUUCAAGUCAUAGCCAAGUUGGAAAAAGUUCCUUGUCAUCAGAAGGUGAUAAGAUAUAUCCCUAGGGUAUUUGCAGGGAAGAUUCAUGUGUCCAUUCUGCAAUUACAGUUAAGGGUAGUACUGUUAAAAAGUGGGAAACAACAUUGAUUAUGCCAUAUUUCAACAAGUCUCAGUCUAAUUACAAAUUGCCUAGGGGAGUAAAAGACAAUACAUUUAUGGCAAAACUGCUUGAAGCAAGGUUAGAGGAACAUAAAUCUCGCUCUAAGCCUAGCAAAAGCUCUUUCUGAUCAACAACUAAACAAGUUUAUGAUGAGAACAUUGGAAUAUAUCAAUAGUUGCAAAUGUAUUAUUACACUCUGAGGGACUACAUAUAGUUAAAGAAAUGAAUCUCAUCACUUAAUGUCAUGAUUAUCAUUGACUUCCUAAUAACAAAUAGUCAACAUCAUCAUUUCAUUCUAUUUAUAAACAUUGUACAAUUAUUGUUAUUAUUAUUGUAAUUAUGGUUAGCUCAAUUAUAGGACCAUGACUGUAAACUAUUAUGUUUAAGCACAGUUGCUGCAAUAGAAUAUAUAUCAUAUUAUUCACCAUUUUCUAUCUUGGCAUCAGAGCUUUAAGCUUGAAAGCUCUCAUCGAUCCAAUCAUGUCAUCCGCUGCCAACACAAACCAGAAAAAUGACAUUCCCACUAUAGUUUAUGUCAAGUUGGACAGAGACAACUAUCCAUUAUGGAAAUCAUUGGUUCUUCCAUUGAUCAGAGGCUACAAACUUGAUGUCUACAUGUUGGGGACAAAAGCAUGCCCAGAUCAGUUCAUCACAUCAGGUGAAACAACAAAGAAAGCCAAUCCUGACCAGGAUGAUUGGAUUGCUCGAGAUCAAGCACUCCUGGGAUGGCUAAUCAACUCCAUGACAACAGACAUAGCCACACAGUUACUACACUUUGAAACAUCCAAGGAAAUUUGGGAUGAAGCCCAAAAGCUUGCAGGAGCUCAUACAAAGUCAAGGACAAUCUACCUCAAAUCAGAAUUUCAUAAUACUCGUAAAGGGAACAUGAAGAUGGAGUAAUAUCUCAUGAAAAUGAAAACUCUUGCAGACAAGUUGAAACUUGCAGGGUCACCAAUUUCAAACUCUGACUUGAUGAUCCAAAUUCUGAAUGGAUUAGAUGCUGACUAUAAUCCAGUGGUAGUUAAGCUUGCUGAUCUGAUUGAUCUCAGUUAGGUUGAAUUUCAAUCCCAACUACUAGCUUUUGAAAGCAGAAUAGAUCAACUUAACAACUUGAGUGGUCUUACAAUCAAUGCAUCUGCAAAUUUUGCAAGUAAGGAUGAGUAUAGAGGAAACAAACAAGGAACACGAGGCAAUUGGAGAGGUUCCAACUUUAGAGCAAUGAAUGCAGAACUUGAAGCAGAAAAUAAGAAGCUAAGGAAGGAAGUUCUAGAACAUAAGCUACUGCUGCUGGAAUACAAGUCAACCACUGAAGCGCAGUUAGAAGAAGCAAAGGCUAGAGAAGAAAGACUGGUUAAAAGUAAUGAAGAGUUCAAGCAAGAGAUGAAUAGAAAGGCAGAUGAAACACAAAGAAUGAUGCAACAAAUGAUGGAGAUGAUCCAAAAACAAGCCCAACCCUACUUGCACACAUUAGCUUGUUUAGUUUUAUCUCUUAUUUGUUUUCUGCACAUUUUAUUUGCUUUUGAAUUACUCUUCUGAUCAAUUUUGCUUCUGAAUGAAUAUGAACAUGCUUCUGAACUUCUUGUAUGCUU
rnacentral:lncRNA from 1 species